rnacentral:ncRNA from 2 species
AGAAAGCACUAGGGGUGUUUCGUAACUGAGAUGAAGCAGUUUUGCUUCAAACCCUUCGAACCUGAUCUAGCUUAGACUAGCGUAGGAAAGUGUAGGAUGUCUGCC